rnacentral:siRNA from 1 species
AGCAUUAUGAAACGGUUUCAGGAC